rnacentral:rRNA from 1 species
AGCGAACGUUAGCGGCGCGCCUAACACAUGCAAGUCGCACGAGAAAGGGCUUCGGCCCCGGUAAAGUGGCGCACGGGUGAGUAACACGUGGGCAACCUGCCCAACCCUGGGGGAUAACCUGCCGAAAGGCGGGCUAAUACCGCGUACGAGGGCCUGACUUCGGUCGGGUUCUGAAAGCAGGCCUCUGAAUUCAAGCUUGUGGGGUUGGAUGGGCCCGCGGUCCAUCAGCUAGUUGGUGAGGUAAAGGCUCACCAAGGCUACGACGGAUAGCUGGUCUGAGAGGAUGAUCAGCCACACUGGAACUGAGACACGGUCCAGACUCCUACAGGAGGCAGCAGUGGGGAAUCUUGCGCAAUGGGCGAAAGCCUGACGCAGCGACGCCGCGUGGGUGACGAAGGCCUUCGGGUUGUAAAGCCCUGUGGGGCGAGACGAACAGCUUCUGGUCAAAUAGGCCAGGGGUCUGACGGUAUCGCCUUAGCAAGCACCGGCUAACUCUGUGCCAGCCGCCGCUGUAAGAC